rnacentral:rRNA from 1 species
AUUGAACGCUGGCGGCAGGCCUAACACAUGCAAGUCGAACGGUAACAGGAAGCAGCUUUCUGCUUCGCUGACGAGUGUCGGACGGGUGAGUAAUGUCUGGGAAGCUGCCUGAUUGAGGGGGAGAACUACUGGAAACGGUAGCUAAUACCGCAUAAUGUCGCAAGACCAAAGAGGGGGAGCUUCGGGCCUCUUGCCAUCGGAUGUGCCCAGAUGGGAUUAGCUUGUUGGUGGGGUAACGGCUCACCAAGGCGACGAUCCGUAGCUGGUCUGAGAGGAUGACCAGCCACACUGGAACUGAGACACGGUCCAGACUCCUACGGGAGGCAGCAGUGGGGAAUAUUGGACAAUGGGCGCAAGCCUGAUCCAGCCAUACCGCGUGGAUGAAGAAGGCCUUCGGGUUGUAAAGCACUUUUGUUGGGAAAGAAAAGAAGAAGGUUAAUACCCCGCCGUUUUGACGUUACCCAAAGAAGAAGCACCGGCUAACUUCGUG